UGGCCUAACGGAUAAGGCGUCGGACUUUAGACCCGAAGAUUACAGGUUCGAUUCCUAC
rnacentral:tRNA from 1 species